UACCCUUUUCUACGGAAUAGCUCUGGGAAACUGGAAUUAAUACCGUAUACGCCCUACGGGGGAAAGAUUUAUCGGGGAAGGAUUGGCCCGCGUUGGAUUAGCUAGUUGGUGGGGUAAAGGCCUACCAAGGCGACGAUCCAUAGCUGGUCUGAGAGGAUGAUCAGCCACAUUGGGACUGAGACACGGCCCAAACUCCUACGGGAGGCAGCAGAGGGGAAUAUUGGACAAUGGGCGCAAGCCUGAUCCAGCCAUGCCGCGUGAGUGAUGAAGGCCUUAGGGUUGUAAAGCUCUUUCACCGAUGAAGAUAAUGACGGUAGUCGGAGAAGAAGCCCCGGCUAACUUCGUGCCAGCAGCCGCGGUAAUACGAAGGAGGCUAGCGUUGUUCGGAAUUACUGGGCGUGAAGCGCACGUAGGCGGAUAUUUAAGUCAGGGGUGAAAUCCCAGAGCUCAACUCUGGAACUGCCUUUGAUACUGGGUAUCUUGAGUAUGGAAGAGGUAAGUGGAAUUGCGAGU
rnacentral:rRNA from 1 species